rnacentral:rRNA from 1 species
AUGUAUUGUCAGCAUGUGGAGCUUCAAUCCCUCGGAAAGUCCAUCCACUGCAUUUCACUAAAGCACUUGCUUGCAUGCAGUUUAAGGGUGAAGAAUGACCAGUUAACUAGGUAUUUUCGAUUUUCGGAUACUGAAAGUGCUGAGCUAAUCUUCUGUAGUCUCGGAGAUAGAAAUUUGUUCUCCUGGAAUUGUAUGGUCUCUGGUUUUGCACAGAAUAAUGAAGGCUGGAGAGCAUUGCAGUUCUAUCAGAAGAUGGAAGACUUCGUGACUGAUAAAUUGUGUACAGUCGGUAUUAUCUAUGCUUGCACUCAAGUAGGGGAUCUUGGACAUGGAAAGAGCAUACAUGGGCAUGUGGUCAAGUCUACUCUGUUUCUGUUUCAGCAUCGCUAG